rnacentral:lncRNA from 1 species
UCUCAAUUCUUUCUCUAAGGCAAAUAUCACAUUCCUGUGAACUAAGACUGGCAAUUGCCUCAAUGAGGCAGGCAACCUAAAUAAUAUAAGCUAUUCAGCUAGGGAAGGCGUUAAAGAGCCGUUAUGUAGCAUCUGAGAACAAGCAAGAAAGAAAGCAGACAUGCACACGAAAUUGCAACAGUAAGGUAAGGCUAUGCACACGAAAUUGCAACAGUAAGGUAAGGCUUGACCCGCCACUCCGUCAAAUAGGCUUCAUGCCUUAACCCUAAAGGAGUAAUCCUAAAGAAUCUAUCAUCUGGAAACAAAUAUUUUAGAAAUGCAUGGGAUCUUCCUGACAAGAGCAGAGCAGGGAAGGACUGGUAUUACCUGUUGGUUGAGGAAGAGAAAUGCCAGAACCACACAUGCAAGUUUCCCUACAUGUGGCUCGUCCGGAUAACUUCUUCGGAUUUGCGUGAACUAACAGACCGAUCACUAAGCGGGGAUGCUCCCUUC